CUUGGGCUUCCGUGAUGAUUUACAAUCAUAGCAUAGUUCAUCUGAAUAUUUUAUGAAGACAACUGUAGCAUAUAUAGUCUUUCGCUCCCAUCUGACUGUUGCCCUUA
rnacentral:snoRNA from 1 species